GUUCUGGUCGAUCAACAAGGGGAGCAAAGGAGGGGUUCAACCCUAGUUUGUCAAAAUCCACAUGAAUCAAGUGAAAUCUUGAGAAAAUUGAAAGUAUAAACAACGAAUUCUAAGCUCCAAGACUUGUUCUUCGAAGUGGCGUAAAGGAAGAGGGCUCAGGUUCUAAGAAGUCGGAAAGCUCACAAGACAAAGGUAAAUCCUCACUUUAGGCGAUUUGGAGAUUUGGAGCGAGCACGUGUCCAUGUCUUGUUAUGCCAAACGCUUCCGCUAGCUUAUUCGCAUCUUUUGGGUUUAUAACUUGCCGUUUUGUCCAACUUUGUUAGUAGAUGUACAUUUGAAAAACUUGUUGUCUUUACUUUUGGUAGUUUAUGUCUUUGGAUCGUAAAAUGUUGUUUAGUAAAUUAUGUUAAGAAAACAGGGGGCAUGUUCGUUUUAUGAACGGGU